rnacentral:misc_RNA from 1 species
GAUGAAGAACGUAGCGAAAUGCGAUAAGUAGUGUGAAUUGCAGAAUUCCGUGAAUCAUCGAAUCUUUGAACGCACAUUGCGCCUUCUGGUAUUCCGGAAGGCAUGCCUGUUCGAGAGUCAUUAACAACCGUUUCGAUCCCUUUCUUUCAGAAAUUACAAAGAGGAAAAGGGUUUGGUUAUGGUGGAGGAGGGAAAGGGAGCGUUUAGUCUGUAAAAAAAGAGGCUGUGUUCCGCCUCCCCCCCAAAAUUGUACAGGCGGUCGUGUGCGCCCACGCAUCGAGGUGUUGUAAAAGCUGCCACGGCACUUUUCACCUGUGCAGUGCGAGAUUGGCCAGCCGGUUUAAAAACCCCUCCAAACAAUCAAAGGUUGACCUCGGAUCAGGUAGGGAUACCCGCUGAACUUAAGCAUAUCAAUAAGCGGAGGA